CAUCAGUGAUGGGCUGGCCAAUCUUUAAGGAGAAUGACUCUACUCUUAGGAAGCCAGCAGGUUGGAGGAGGAAACACAUUCAAAUCCCGAGCACAAGGAGCUGGGAGAAGACCGGUUAUGGGAGCGGCAUUCCUGGAAGCUCUGAAGUCACAGCCCCACUGAUGAAAGGAUGUAAGAACCUAAGAGUGGAAACCUGCCCCUGGGAUUCAUAUGGUGUCCCCUCAGGACUCAAACCCUGGUCUGGAGGAAAGAUGAAAGAAAGAAAAUUAAGGAAAAGAGGAAAACAAGCAAAAAACUCAGCAAAGAUGUCAUUGCAUAAUAGUCCAU
rnacentral:lncRNA from 10 species